CCUCUCUUCCCCGAGCCUUCUUCCCGAUCUCUCCUCCUCGCCACCGAGUCUCUCUCGCGUCGCCGCCGAUCGCCGCGAGCUCACCGUCGGCGGAGGUUUUCCUCUCUGGAGUCUCACCAACGUCAAGCUUCCUUGGCUACCGAUGGUCGAUUCUCUCCGCCCCUGAUCAAUCAUGCUUGCCGAGCCCUAGUUUUUGUUCCGGCGUUGCUGGAUUAACCUCAGAUCCGAUCGCCGGUGUAGGUUCAUUGCCGGUGCUUUGCAUUUGGAUCAUUGCUUCGUGUGAGUAGAGCUUCGAUCAGGAAGGGGGUCCUAGCCCUAGCCUCGAUUCUCCUCUGUUCUUGGUGUUGUGCCCUAGCUCUGAAUUUCGCCUCCUCUUCAGAGCAAUGGGGUUCCGACAAUGAGACAGCGAGGGUUACGGGAUUGGAGAAGAAGAAGAGUGAGGUUUUGUUCUGUGGGGAUUCGAUUGAAGAGGGGUUGCUUGAGCUGUGGUUUGUGCUUGAUCAGUAGUCUUCCUGCUUGAUCCGAAUUGUGGAGUGGAAUCAAGCACCUUGCUGUUCUGUUUAUGGUGUACCUUGUUUCCAGUAGCUACUCACCUCACGUCCGGCAGCAACCUAUCUAGUGAGGUGAAUCCAGUGAGGAUUUGUGAAGGUAAUUUUGGUGUCCAGCAGCAUUUCUAGUUUUGGCAGCAACCUCAUCUAGCAGAUUGCUUGGUUUCAGCAAUCUACAGCAGCUUGAUCGAGGACACUGAUUCGAGACGGGCGUCUCGACUUCGGAUUUGGAUUGACUGUACCUUCUAUUUGAGGCGGGUACCCUUUGACUUAUCUUUUCGAUAUUGUCGUAUGAUAUGUAUAGUUUAUAUAUGAUUACUAGUGAUUGAUAGAUUAUCACUUCCCCGGUUAUAGUUUAUUUGAUAUCUGUAGGCGGUUACUAGUGAUUGGUAGUUUAUCAUUUCCCCUGGAUGUAGUUUAGUUGAUACCUGAUACAUGCUUCUGUUGAUAAUUGUUAUACAUUAGUCUGACAUGCUUUUCUUUCUGGCUAUGUUUAUCUGUGUUCAUAGAGAUAGAUGUAUUUAUUGU